rnacentral:rRNA from 1 species
CCCACAUUUAAUAAUCAUCGUUUAUGGUAUGGACUACGAGGGUAUCUAAUCCUCUUCGCUACCCAUACUUUCGUAUCUCAGCGUCAGUAAUGAUCCAGAAAGCCGCCUUCGCAACUGGUGUUCUACAUAAUAUCUACGAAUUUCACCUCUACACUAUGUAUUCCGCUUUCCUCUAUCAUACUCCAGCUAAAUAGUUUUAAUUGCAGUUCCAAAGUUAAGCUUUGGGCUUUCACAAUUAACUUAUCUAGCCGCCUACAUACUCUUUACGCCCAGUAAUUCCGAACUACGCUAGGUCCCUUCGUAUUACCGCGGCUGCUGGCACGAAGUUAGCCGGACCUUAUUCUUCGGGUACAGUCAUUAUCUUUCCCGACAAAAGAGCUUUACAACCCAAAGGCCUUCUUCACUCACGCGGCAUCGCUGCAUCAGGCUUUCGCCCAUUGUGCAAGAUUCCCCACUGCUGCCUCCCGUAGGAGUCUGGGCCGUAUCUCAGUCCCAGUGUGGCUGAUCAUCCUCUCAAAUCAGCUAUUGAUUAUAGCCUUGGUGAGCUUUUACCUCACCAACAAGCUAAUCAAAUGCGGGCUCAUCUUUUGGCAUUAAAACUUUCUCCGUUAGGACUUAUCCGGUAUUAGCACAGGUUUCCCCAUGUUGUUCCAAACCAAAAGGCAGAUUCCCACAUGUUACGCACCCGUCUGCCGCUAGGUAUUGCUACCCCGCUCGACUUGCAUGUGUUAGGCGUGCCGCCAGCGUACGUUCUGAGCCAGGAUCAAACUCU